UACAGAGGGUGCGAGCGUUAAUCGGAAUUACUGGGCGUAAAGCGCACGUAGGUGGCUUAGUAAGUCGGAUGUGAAAUCCCCAGGCUUAACCUGGGAACUGCAUUCGAAACUGCUUUGCUAGAGUAUGGGAGAGGGCAGUGGAAUUUCAGGUGUAGCGGUGAAAUGCGUAGAUAUCUGGAGGAACACCGGUGGCGAAGGCGGCAUCCUGGACCGGUAUUGACACUGAGGCGCGAAAGCUAGGGGAGCAAACGGG
rnacentral:rRNA from 1 species